UAUAUAUUGAGCAAACAGUAUUUUAUAGAGAGAGUUAUGAAUACUGUGCUUUCGAAAAUAUAGAAGCCUACGUAUUUAUAAGUUAUUUCCUGAUAAAAAGAAAUCAGAUUCGAUGAUCGAUUUUCUUAGGCAUAAUGUACACUAUUAAAACUAUUUAAAAAUCCAAAUUUAUAAUUUUACGACAUUAUUCACUAAGUGAUCAAACGAUCUCGAAAAUAACUAUUUUAAAAAACGAUGUGACACAUUUUAAAGUUCAACGGUGUAAAAUAAUUCAUAUUACAUGAAAUUUUAAUAAAAAAUUUUACUUGACAUCUAUAGCGAAAUCAAUACUUCUGGAAAUUGAAAUUUUGAAUCUUUUAUCACUAUUUUAAUGAGAUUUUUAUUUUCAAUAUUCAUUUUGAGUCUCUUCAUUUACUAGACAAAUGAUGUUAACAAAUUAUGACAUUUGGUUUCUAGAUAAUUCCACUAGCAUANGAGCUGGAAGCACGGAAGGGUCCGUGCUUCCGAUAGCAUAGUAGCCUCACUAUAUAUAUAUAUAUAUAUAUAUAUAUAUAUAUAGAGUAUGGCUAAAAUACUUUUACAAGUAUCACCCAAGUGAUACUUGUAUGUUUUUAGCCCUUGGAUGAAGAGAUGUGAGGUUGAGAUGAUGGGGGUAGGUGGUGGUAGGUGGUGGUUAGUAGAAUAGUGUUUGAUCCAAGGGCUAUUUGUAAUCAAAAAGUAGAUUCAAUGGCUAAAAACGUGAUAGCAACAUGGGGAUGAUACUUGUAAAAGUAUCCUAGAUCAACUCUAUAUAUAUAUAUAUAUAUAUAUAUAUAUAUAUAUAUAUAUAUAUCAAUUAGUUAUAAAUAAUUUUUUAAAAAAAAUUUAACAUAUUUUAAGUAUGUAUUAUAUUUUGCGAAUUAGAUU
rnacentral:lncRNA from 1 species